rnacentral:lncRNA from 1 species
GACAGAGUGUAGGGUUUUUCUUUUAAGGGAUGGGUUUGGUGAGACUUAUGAGAGAUGAUGGCACUGAGAUUGCCAAGAUGGAAGCGUAUUCUACAUCUUGUAUCAUUGGAUUCUUGGAGGACCAUGGAAUGAAGAAUGUUAAAAGUUGCUAUGAUCUUGUCAGAAAAGAUGGGACACAUGUUCUUAGCGGCUGCAGCAGUGGCGAUGUGUACCUAGUUCCCAAGCUGUCUCUUGCAUGUCAGGCUGGAAACACAGCAGCAUGUGUGGCAGAAAUCACUAGCUGUGUUAAAAAGAUGGUAAGUCUAAAAAAGCUUUAAUCUUUUAGUGGUUUAUAUGCAAAAUACUGCAGGAAAGCUGGGUCAAGUCUAUGGCUGCAAAUCGUUAGAGGUUCAAAAUCAUUUGAAGUUUGAACAAGGCUUUGGUUUUUCAUUUUAUCAACAAGAAAACUGUUUGAUUCCAUAUUUUUUAAGUCCUUUGCAGACAGACCGAAAUAGUUUCAGAGUAUAGGAAAGAAUGAUCACAUAUAAAUAUUUUCACGGCCAGCACAUCAAUACAAUAUAAGCCACAGAAAUGGAAAGUUUUUACACGUCAACAACGUCCCAGUUUCGCACGACUGCAAAGUCUGAAGUUUCGAGCUGCCAAGCAGCGUUGCUCGACGCCGCUGCUGCUGGAGUCGACUGCUCGAGAACCGCGGCGGGAGAUCGUAUCUAGAACUGGUCUCUGCCGGUGUAAAAUUUCGGAGCCGUCCUCGUCAGCCGGGCGAUUGAAGGAUUGAAGCUUACGUACUUCUUGAGUCGCACUGUGGGAACCGAUGGAGAAGAAGCAAGAGAAAAUUAUUUGCAGAGCUCGCUCGGAAAUCUACAGCGUACCACUGACUUACAAGCUCAGCUCCCCGUCGCACCGGUGGUGCCGGAGCUACCGUGGCCAUCACCAUCGCUUUUAAAAAAUUCUUGGCGCCCCGGGAGAAUUUAAAUUCAUGUCAAGAUAUUGAGAUGUCAUUGAUCUUCGGUUUCCCGCAAUUUUUUUUCUACAAACACAGAAAGAGAAAGAAACGCUGGCCCAAGGGAAGAGCAGUGAAAAACUUCGGGCUACAAGACGUGUAGUCGUGCUUCCUCGUGGCUGGAGGAACCAGAGCUGGAGGAUCCUCAGUCAGAGCUGGCGCUGCAAUAUUGUUACCUGGAGAAAUUAGAGCUGGAUUCUUUAGUUCCAGGCGACGCUUUUGGCGAGCCACGCUGCGUGAGAAUAUCAUAUGCCGCGUCCAUGGAGUCUUUGAAAACAGCCAUGGAUAGCAUCGAGCAGUCCUUGACACUAAUUAAUAUUGAAUGAAGACGUUGCAUUUCAUCGAUGCUCUAUACGUGUUGACGAUUUCUGGAGAGAUUAAAUUAGUCUUAAUAUCCGAUGGCCACCAUUGGCCGGAUCCGGCGGCGCAAUAGUUCAGCAACUCAUGUAAAAAAGAUACAGGUUUAUUUUGUGCUCAACUGAGAAGCAUGGGAAUAGUGAGAGUUCUGAGAGAUGACGGCACCGAGAUUUUCAAGAUUGACACUAACCAUGCAUCUUAUAUCUUUGAUUUCUUGGAGGACCAUGGAAUGAAGAAAAGUUCCUAUGAUCUUGUUAGAAAAGAUGGCACACAUGUUACCAGGAGUUGCGACAGUGGCGAUGUGUACCUAGUUCCCAAGCUGUCUCUUGCAUGUCAGGCUGGAAACGCAGCAGCGUGUGUGGCAGAAAUCACAAGCUGUGCUAAAAAGAUGGUAAGUCUGAAAAAGCUUUAAUCUUUUAGUGGUUUAUAUGCAAAAUACUGCAGGAAAUCUGGGUCAAGUCUAUGGCUGCAAAUCGUUAGGUACAAAAUCGAACAAGGCUGAAACUAGCUCUUCAAUCUCUUCAAUACUUGUUUGGUUUUUCACUUUAAGCUGUUGUAGGGAGUUCACUUUUUAUAAAAUCAAUAUAAACCAUAGAAUGGAAACUUUUUGCAUUUCAAGAAGGCUUUCGGAAGUCGACAACGUCCAAGGUCUCCAGAGGACGUUGCUGCUUUAACCGUGCAAAGUCGAACGUUCCAAGCUGCCAAGCAGCGACACUCUUGCCGAGUGUCUGUUCAAGACUCAAGCAGAGCUCCAGCUAAAUAAUUUUCUGUGCCCCGGGGUGAAGACAUUCAGAUGUAGGUUCUGCGCAAUUUCUUUUCUACAAAUAUAAUUUUUUCUUUGACUCAAGAAACGGUGGCCAAGGAUAAAUCCGAUGGCUGUUAUUGGCCGGCCCAAGAAGGUAAUUAUAGAUAGAGUGUAGGGUUUUAUUUUUAAAGGAUGGGUUUGGUGAGACUUAUGAGAGAUGAUGGCACUGAGAUUGCCAAGAUGGAAGCGUAUACUACAUCUUGUAUCAUUGAAUUCUUGGAGGACCAUGGAAUGAAGAAUGUUAAAAGUUGCUAUGAUCUUGUUAGAAAAGAUGGGACACAUGUUCUUAGCGGCUGCAGCAGUGGCGAUGUGUACCUAGUUCCCAAGCUGUCUCUUGCAUGUCAGGCUGGAAACACAGCAGCAUGUGUGGCAGAAAUCACUAGCUGUGUUAAAAAG